rnacentral:rRNA from 1 species
ACCACCCUUUAAUGUUUGAUGUUCUAACGUUGGCCCGUAAUCCGGGUUGCGGACAGUGUCUGGUGGGUAGUUUGACUGGGGCGGUCUCCUCCUAAAGAGUAACGGAGGAGCACGAAGGUUGGCUAAUCCUGGUCGGACAUCAGGAGGUUAGUGCAAUGGCAUAAGCCAGCUUGACUGCGAGCGUGACGGCGCGAGCAGGUGCGAAAGCAGGUCAUAGUGAUCCGGUGGUUCUGAAUGGAAGGGCCAUCGCUCAACGGAUAAAAGGUACUCCGGGGAUAACAGGCUGAUACCGCCCAAGAGUUCAUAUCGACGGCGGUGUUUGGCACCUCGAUGUCGGCUCAUCACAUCCUGGGGCUGAAGUAGGUCCCAAGGGUAUGGCUGUUCGCCAUUUAAAGUGGUACGCGAGCUGGGUUUAGAACGUCGUGAGACAGUUCGGUCCCUAUCUGCCGUGGGCGCUGGAGAACUGAGGGGGGCUGCUCCUAGUACGAGAGGACCGGAGUGGACGCAUCACUGGUGUUCGGGUUGUCAUGCCAAUGGCACUGCCCGGUAGCUAAAUGCGGAAGAGAUAAGUGCUGAAAGCAUCUAAGCACGAAACUUGC